rnacentral:rRNA from 1 species
AGAUUGAACGCUGGCGGCAUGCCUAACACAUGCAAGUCGAACGGCAGCACAGCAGAGCUUGCUCUGUGGGUGGCGAGUGGCGGACGGGUGAGUAAUGCAUCGGGACCUACCCAGACGUGGGGGAUAACGUAGGGAAACUUACGCUAAUACCGCAUACGUCCUACGGGAGAAAGCGGGGGACCUUCGGGCCUCGCGCGGUUGGACGGACCGAUGUUCGAUUAGCUAGUUGGUAAGGUAAUGGCUUACCAAGGCGACGAUCGAUAGCUGGUCUGAGAGGAUGAUCAGCCACACUGGGACUGAGACACGGCCCAGACUCCUACGGGAGGCAGCAGUGGGGAAUCUUGCGCAAUGGGCGAAAGCCUGACGCAGCAACGCCGCGUGAGGGACGAAGGCCUUCUGGGUUGUAAACCUCUUUCAGCAGGGACGAUUGUGACGGUACCUGCAGAAGAAGCCCCGGCAACUACGUGCCAGCAGCCGC